UCAAACAUUUUAAUAUUUAAGGCAACUUAAAAUACAACUAAUAAUUAUUUAUUAUUUAAUUUACAAUUAUAAUAACAUUGUUACCUAAUUAUUUUAUCUGUAAUAUAUUUUAAUUAUAAAUGAUAAUACCAAAUUAUUGUGAUAGUGCAGUAAGUUUUUCUUUUUUGUGGUCAGGAUAUUUUUUGCGGUAAUCACUAACAACUUGUAGAAGGUAUUAUUUUUGAGAUUCGUUUUUGGUAAUUUUUUCAUUAUAGUCCUCUAUAAGUUUUACUCCUCUUUCUGCUAUAUCGUUUAUUACUGGAAUAUUUUUUAUAACUAACAAAGCUUUAGAAUAGUCUCCAUUAUUUUCCCAAUUAAUUGGAUCUUCAUUCAAAAAAAUGGUGUUGAUGGAAAAUCGUUUAAAUAGUGUUUUAGUAUUAACACAUAUAAAAUCAUCGAUUUUCAAUAACUCAUUUGCAUUUUUUGGCGAUAUAGUUAAACGUUGUGCAUUUGAAAUUAAUUCUGAUGAACUUUCGUCGUUGUUUAGAGCAUGACCCAAUUUUUCUUUUUAUCUCCAGUGGCACAGCUUCAUCGAAAAAAGCAAAAUCACAUAAUUCUGCAGAUAAAUACCAUAAGUGACCACAAAACUUUUUAACUGCAAUCUGAGAUAUAUCUUUGUCUAUAGAGGUAUAAUGUAAAAGACUUUUUAUAAAAUUCAAGUCUUGUAAUGGUGCUUUGAUUGAAGAUGGUGAGUUGAACCAUACUUUUUUGUAUAAUCGUACAAUAAAAACGCAAAUACUUCUCAAAGCACUUUCUUCUUUUGGUGUUAAAUGAAAUUGUUCGCGAAAUAAAUAUAUUUUCAAGCUAUAAAUAGCUUUGGUCAUCCACCGCGCGUGAUGAAUGGCACCUGGCAUUUUAAAUCGAAUAUUAUUAGGAAGUUUUCCACCCAGAAAAAUUGCUGUUAAUUCUAGUAACUCGGUAAUCAUCUCUUGGGUGAUUUUCUAAAAGUUGAUCUCUAGAAAAUUUGAUAAUAUCAUCACAUACGUUAUUUACAGAAUCCAUUAUAAUACUAUUUUGUAUGCCAGGAUUAUAAUUUUUAGUAUUUAUUGUUCCCCAGGUAUGUUGGAACCUUUUAAAAAUUAAUAUUAUAGACUAAAAACGUACACAAAGCUUCCAGUUCAUCACGGGCACGAUAUUUUCUUUUAUUUGUCGCUUGUUUGCUAUCUUCUAUGAUUUUUUCUUUUUUUUUAUCAUUUUUUGAUCAAUACCAAGCAACGACCCAGGUCGACCUUUCUGUCUCUGGGCUAUUAAAAAUGCUUUGUCAUUCUCAAUAGACAGUAAAUCUAAUGCAUUUGCACUCGCUACGUCGAAUAAAUCAUCUAACUUUGAUAGAAACUGCGUAUUUUUUUCCAUUUGCGUUGCACUUUUUCUAUAUUCUAAUUUUUAAAAAUUUCUCCACUCUCUGUAUAAACCUUCCAGCUUGUUCACACACUUUUGUUCUGUUCUCGCUGGUAUGCGUGCCUUCCGCCAAAAAAUGAUUGCUUCUUGUAUCACUAAUGUAGCACUUUGAUGCAAAUUUAAGUUUACUUCACGCAUAUUAAAAAAUAGUACCGACAAAACUUGUUUGUUUGAUGGUAAUUUACUACCAACAAUUUGAUUUGUACUAUAUCCAAUCAAAAAAAUAUACUUCGACUCACGUAAACUAUCCCUGGUAACUAUUGUAAGUCAGUAAAAUAAAAUGUAUGACGUACAAAAUUUGAAAAUUUAAUACUCAACAAUUUUAGUGUGACACUGGUCGUUGUAGUAAGUCAACUGAGAAAUUAAUCAAUAAAUAGCAAAAUGACUACAAUGACAUGAUAUAUCCGAUAACAUAUAAGUAUAGAUUGUAAUAAUGUGUAAUGUAAAGAAUAAAGAAUGUAGAUAAUAUAUUAUUUGAUUGUCUGAGUCAUAAAAAUAAUCUUUAGGUAAUAAUCACAAAAUAUAGGUACUGGGUAAAGUGCAUAUUAUUUAUUUGUAGCCGAUAAUGAUUAUGAUUAUUUUUUUUUGACCUUUUAGUUCAAAUAAUUAAAAAAGCUUUAAAUUUAAAAUAUAGAUUAUAGAAAACAAACUAUUGUAAAUUUAGUUUUCUUUAAUUUAUAAUCUAAAGAAUUUAUCGUGAGAUUCUUUUCCCUAGAGUUAUGUUGGUUUUAUUAAAAUAACUUAACGAUUUUUAAAAAUUUUCUAUGUUUGUAACUGCAGAGCUGUUGUGGCACGGGUUAAAUUUAUUUGAUUUGUCUAAAACUUUAUUUAUAUCAUUAUUUUUAGUAAUGGAUCUUAUUAGGAAGGAGUAAUUUGAAAAAUUUGGUUAUUUUUUUUCAUACAUACCACCCUA